rnacentral:rRNA from 1 species
UACGUAGGGGGCUAGCGUUGUCCGGAUUCAUUGGGCGUAAAGGGUGCGUAGGCGGCGCGGUAAGUCGGGUGUGAAAUCUCGGAGCUUAACUCCGAAACUGCAUUCGAUACUGCCGUGCUUGAGGACUGGAGAGGAGACUGGAAUUUACGGUGUAGCGGUGAAAUGCGUAGAUAUCGUAAGGAAGACCAGUGGCGAAGGCGGGUCUCUGGACAGUUCCUGACGCUGAGGCACGAAGGUCAGGGGAGCAAACGGG